rnacentral:rRNA from 1 species
AUGGCGGCGGAGAAGCCGGCCCCGGCGAAGGUGCUCUACUGCGGCGUGUGCGGCCUCCCCGCGGAGUACUGCGAGUUCGGCCCCGACUUCGAGCGCUGCAAGCCGUGGCUCCGCGCCCACGCGCCCGGCGUCUACCCCGACGAGCUCGUGGCCUCCUCCUCCGGCGGCGACGAUAAGGACGUGGGCAAGGUCGGCGAGCGCCUCCAGGGCGUCAGCAUCUCCACCGCCGACGGCUCCACAAGCGCAGGGGGUGCUUCGGCAUCUUCUAAGACUGAAGAGGUGAAGCGACUGCCGGGCGGUAAGCUCAAGAAAAAGGACAAGCAAGAGGUUAUUAUUGAGAAGAUUGUCCGCAACAAGCGCAAGUGUGUUACUGUGGUGAAAGGCCUGGAUUUGUUUGGUGUAAAGCUGAGUGAUGCUUCAAAGAAGCUUGGAAAGAAGUUUGCUACUGGAGCUUCGGUUGUCAAGGGCCCAACUGAGAAGGAGCAAAUUGAUGUCCAAGGAGACAUAUCAUAUGAUGUUGUGGACUUCAUUACAGCUACAUGGCCUGAUGUUCCUGAAUCCGCCGUAUAUUUCAUAGAAGAUGGAAGGAAGGUUGCUGCUGCUUGA